rnacentral:rRNA from 1 species
UACGGAGGGGGCUAGCGUUGUUCGGAAUUACUGGGCGUAAAGCGUGCGCAGGCGGGUUGUUAAGUCUGCUGGGAAAUCCCCGAGCUCAACUUGGGAAUUGCAGUGGAUACUGGCAAGCUGGAGUACGGUAGAGGAAGGUGGAAUUCCCGGUGUAGCAGUGAAAUGCGUAGAGAUCGGGAGGAACACCAGUGGCGAAGGCGGCCUUCUGGACCAGUACUGACGCUCAUGCACGAAAGCGUGGGGAGCAAACAGG